rnacentral:rRNA from 1 species
AUGGCGGAGGUGUCCGCGGCGGCGGCGCCGGUGCCGGAGGGCGUCCUGCACAGGAGGAUAGAGUUCCACCUCGCCAGGAGGCCGCACGCCGCGGCGGCCGUCGGGGGAGGCGGGUUCCAGAUGGAGACCCUCAACCCGGACGCCGCGGGCGGGGCGGCCACCGCGGCGGCGGGAGCGGCCAGGGGCGAGGCGGAGGCGAGGAGGCCGGAGAAGGCCGAGGCUCUGGGCUUGGAUCCGGAGCUCACCGUCGCCAGGAUCUACCUCGGGAGAAUUGGUGCUGGUCUGCAAAAUCUUGGGAACACUUGCUACCUCAACUCGGUUCUGCAAUGCUUGACGUACACGGAGCCGUUCGCAGCCUACUUGCAGAGUGGAAGGCACAAGUCUUCAUGUCGUACUGCUGGAUUUUGUGCAUUGUGUGCUCUCCAGAACCAUGUUAAGACUGCUCUACGGUCAACUGGAAAAAUAGUGACGCCAUCACAAAUUGUCAAGAACUUGCGAUGCAUUUCUCGUAGCUUCCGUAAUUCAAGGCAGGAAGAUGCUCAUGAGUUAAUGGUUAACUUGCUUGAAUCCAUGCAUAAAUGCUGUUUACCUUCUGGAGUACUGAGCGAAUCUGCAAGUGCUUAUGAGAAGAGCUUAGUUCACAGAAUAUUUGGUGGCCGCCUAAGAAGUCAGGUGAAAUGUACAAGGUGCUCGCAUUGUUCCAACACAUUUGAUCCUUUCUUGGAUCUCAGUCUUGAUAUUGGAAAGGCCACAACUUUGGUGAGAGCGCUUCAAAACUUUACUGAGGAUGAACUACUCGAUGGCGGUCAAAAGCAGUAUCAGUGUGAGCGCUGCAGGCAGAAAGUUGUAGCAAAGAAAAGGUUUACAAUUGAUCAAGCUCCAAAUGUUUUGACAGUUCAUCUGAAGCGCUUUAGCCCUUUCCGUCCCCGUGAAAAGAUUGACAAAAAAGUGGAUUUUCAACCUGUUCUAGACUUGAAACCAUUUAUGAGUGAUUCUAAAGGCGCGGAUUACAAAUACAGUCUUUAUGGUGUCUUGGUUCAUGCUGGUUGGAGUACUCAAUCUGGUCAUUAUUAUUGCUUUGUUCGGACUUCCAGUGGGAUGUGGCACAAUCUUGACGAUAAUCAGGUACGCCAAGUUCGUGAGGCAGACGUACUGAAACAGAAAGCCUAUAUGUUAUUUUAUGUACGUGACAGAAUUGGGAACACAUUGGGGCGCAAAGACAACAGCACUCCUAAUCUGCCUGUAAACAACAUGAUCCCUGGGAAGAUUUCAUCUAUCAAUGGUGUAAUGGAAGCAAAAUCGAGUGGUCUGACAUCACCUUAUGCAAAUAAGAAGUUGCAGAGUACAAGCAAUGCCCAUUCCAGCGUUAGCAGUAUGACAUUAGUAGACCAUUGUUCAACAAAUGCUGGCAAAGCUGAAACUGCUGCAGCCCUUCAAAACAGUGUCCUGCCCGCCGCACAGAAAGCCCUUGGACCUCAAAAUGAUGGUGCUACAUUGUCAACUAAAUCAAAGCAAGUUGCUUCAAGUAGUCAUAAAGAGACAUCUUCAUCAGAUCAACUGGCGAGCAGCAAUCAGACAAUGGCUAAGAUGUCAUUGCAGGAACCAAAGACUGGUGGUGCAUUGGCCAAGCUGGGAAAUAAUACUUCUAUUGCCUCAUCUAUGGUCAGUGGUCCUGCUGGACUGUCAGAGACAGAUAAACAAACUUCUUGCUCUCAAACAUGUUCCAAGCCAAGCUCGAACUUGGUUGGCACGAUUACCGGGUUUACCGCGCAAACUUUCCAAACUAAGGAUGCUGUUCUUUCAAAUGGUGUCAUCCCUAGCACUAGCGGUGGAGAUCCAGUUUCAAGUGAGAAAAUGAAGGACUUAACAGGAUCUCUCAAGCAAGAUGACCACAUAGUGAAGGCUUUGACGACGAGCAAGAAGGAGAAAACCAUACUACCAGGACUUGAGCAAGUUGAUGUUGGAAAACAGAUCUCCUCGCAAGUUUCCACGAAGGUGGUUCCAGGCGAUUCAUGUAAUGGCAGAAUGACUAAAAGGGUGGACUCGAAGUCAAAGAAACUUGUGAGAUAUCCAUUAAUGAAGUUAUGGCUCCGGCCAAGACAAUUAUCACUAAAGCAACAAAAGAAGAAGCAUAAGAAAACCAAAAAGCGCGUUAAGGACACGGCCAGUGUUGAUUGUUCUGGUGACAACAGCAGUGAGCAGCAGACAUCAACGUCAGCAACUGUGCCGCCAAAAACUGCAGGAUCUACAUCUCGUAAGCGGAAACAUGCCCAUGCCAGUGCAAGUUCUGAAAAUGGCACCCAAGUAUUCAAAGACAGCCAGCAGGUUGUUGGAGCAAGCAGUGCUGGUGCUGGUGAUCAUAACAUGGACGCCAGGAAUGGAAAGAGUCAAACUUCUGCAAAUCAAGCAAAUUCAAGAAACAACGUAGAUGCAAAGAGGGGAGCCGCCUCCCAACAAGUCGUUAUUCGCACAGAGGACUUGAGGGCAGAAGUUACCGUUCCGUGCUGGGAUGAUGUUGCCGUGCCAAACAGUGAGACUAGUGAAUACAAAAGUUCGGGGAAGAAGAGCAUUGGAUAUGUGCUGGAUGAGUGGGAUGAGGAGUACGACCGUGGAAAGGCAAAGAAGGUCAGGAAAGCAAAGGAAGACGACAACGACGAUGGCAUGAACCCCUUCCAGGCGGAGGCCAACUAUGUGUCAGCGCGGAAGACGAAACAGAAUUCCUACAAAUCCAAGCCUUGGGACAAGCCCGCCAGACCGAGUCGCUAG